UGUUAUUUGCUGCUUCUGAAAAAUGAUCAUGAAAGACUGUAAUUUUGCCAAACAGUCCAUCAGAUGGACAACACACGUCCUAUCAUUAGUAGGCGCUGUCCGACUCAUUGUGCACACUGCCCUUACUCCCUCUGAUUUUGGGGGAAGCAUGGACCAAUGAGUAGAGUUUAUUAAUAAAAAGAUCUGAAAAUGAUUGAGGCCAGAAACUUCCUUGAUGACAUCACCUACUGCCAAUGGUUCAAGCCGAUGGUUCAAGCAGUGCCACACAAAAAUGUCCGGGAAUUUACUUCACAGCUAGCUAGCAACACCUGCUCUCUUGCCCAGCAUUAGUGAUGCCCCGUCACGACCAAAAGCAACUAGACACUGAUCUCAAUAAAAUGUCUUUCAAGGCACUUCAUCAAAGCUUUAGUGAUGGCAUCUACAGUUGUUCCAUGCAACUCAACCAAUUCCCAAAAAAAGAGUUUGUUUAGGGAUUAGCAUUCACUAAUGUGUCACUAAUGCUGAACAUAGACAUACAACUAGCACAGAUUUUCCACUGAUUGUGGUAGAUUCAUCGAUCAACACACACAGUUUCCCGUUAUUUUCUGUGAUGUGUUUUGUCAUUUGUAAGAGCGAAUGACAUUGUCCACAUUAAGUCCCUACAGCUGUUGCAAAAUUCAGAUCAACCAGCAAGUCAACCAGCAACUCCACCAGCGGCCGGCCAUACUUGCCAUUUUAUUUUUGCUGUUCUAAAGACUCUGGCCGUGCUUUCGUAAUCUGAUGUAUACAUAGUCUGUACAUGCUUCUCAGUUGCUUCACGUGAAGCACAUUUCAGUAUGUCAGCAGCCUUUUUAUGAGCAAAUGAUUCUUUGUGUUUUUUUUAUCUUUUUCCUGAGGCUUAGUUAUACUUAUCACAGCCGAAGUGCGUCACUAGACACUCACCCCAUUCACUCAAUAGUUUCAGUCCUUGUCCACAGUAUAUUCUCAGAGAUUUAACUUUUCUGCAAAUCCGGCAUCUACGCUUGUCAUCCUUCACAAUGAGCCAAUGGGACAACAACAAUCGGUCACUGACUGCGGGUGGAAGUCCAUUCAUUGGCCGCAUCUGAGGAUACAGGGAGCGACAUCGGAGUCAUGCAGAUUUACACAAUCCAAAGAGAUGGGGAUGAGGAGCCAGUGGACGUGGGAAUUGUGAUUGAAGGCCAUGUCAUCAUGGGGUUCAUCAUGCUGUUUGGGCUCAUUUAUGUCCUUUAUCUAAGUUUUCCAGACACCCUUCAGUACACCUUCCAGUUUUUUCAGAAGGUCGUAGUGAAUUUGGAGGGGCACAAGCUGAAUGCAAGAGGUGAACACCAGGUGACAAAGUGCAUUGUCAAGUUUCCUUAUCAGGUCUUUUGGGAGUUGUUUUUGUUUUGUUUUUUCACUUUCAUCUUCCGCCCAGUCAACAACAAUCAAUGACCUCAUGGAUGUUUUUCUUGUUCUGACAUUUUGAAAGAAUUGACUAAGCUGCACAGUGGCAGGCCAGGAGCUGUAAUUUACUUAGCUUUUACAUAUAACUGCAAGCUUCUGUUUAAAUAUAAAGAUAAUUAUAUGAUAUGCAGCCAUCAGGAGUGGAGUGACUUACUGUAAUUGCUCCUCCCUCACGAAAUAAUGGUUGAUGGGGGUUUACGAUUGGAAUUCCAUGGGCUCGGACGAGUGUUUACACAUGGAAAGUUUGCCCACUUCACCUCCCCAUCCUAACUCCUAGAGUGUGACUCUACCCUCCACCCUUCUCAAGCUGCCAUUCAUCUCUAAUGUCAACUGGCGCGUCUAUUUUUCUCCUCCCUGUCGCCUGAUUGCAUGACUCAAAACUCGGGUUGAAAUGGACUUAAAUACGAUUCAACACACUGUGUAAUUUCCUUUGAUUGUGAAUGGCCAGAACUCUCUUCAUGCUGCAAGUCACAUUUUUACAGAUUAAGUUACAUUUAAAUGACUAUGGAUAUCCUUGUUAGUUAUAAUCAGACUCUCUUAGUCAGUGAAUGCUUUGUGAUUUCUUUUCUUUUUUUUUUUUUUUUUUUGUAGCCCAAAAGUGGUCCAUGUGUUUCUGUUAGCAGCUCUGAUAAUACACCAAAGGCUCUUCUUCAGUGUAAAUGAGCAAUUGCAAAACUGUGUCCUUGUUUGAACUGACCAUCUGUACUACAGGCAAAGAAAACAAAGCUGUACUGCUAGUGACAAAGCAAAGUAGUAGGAAUUUUUCAUUUGCCAUCUUGGUUGCUACAUGGCGAUUACAGGAAUUUCUUUUCUGCUUUUUUGUAAUGAUGGGUUCAAGGCAAAUGGCUACACUACACUUACACAAGUACUAAAUAUAGGUUUGUGCAGUGCACUCUUAAAACCACCCAAUGAUAUCCCCUGUUUGGAGAGCAGUGCAAAUCCUCCACCUUCAUAGCAUCUUUGUUGUUUGUGGCUCUGGGGGAUUUGGGAUAGAUGGGCGUUCAUUUUUCAGCAGUUAUGGAGCUGUUGUAGGAAUGCUUUUUCCAGGGCACUGGACAAGGAGUAACACCCCUCUUAAAUCGUUCUUUGAAAGAAAGUUAUUAGCUUGCUGUGUGUAUUCAAGUAUAGAUGUUGAAUUGAGGAUUACUGUCCCAUCGAUGAUUUUGAUGUUUUCUUGGUUCUAACAUUUAAAAACAACAGUGUAAGCUGCACUGUAUAGAUCAUGUCGGAGAUUUACUUUCAUUUCCUGCUCAGUCUGUUUCUUGAUAUUUGUUAUCUGUAAAACAAAAUAAAUAAAUAAAUGCAGGCACACUUGUGUCAUGGAUCAUUAUUUUCAAUAAAAAUACCUCAACUAGG